UGUGAGCUCGAUGAGUAGGGCGGGACACGUGGUAUCCUGUCUGAAUAUGGGGGGACCAUCCUCCAAGGCUAAAUACUCCUGACUGACCGAUAGUGAACCAGUACCGUGAGGGAAAGGCGAAAAGAACCCCGGCGAGGGGAGUGAAAAAGAACCUGAAACCGUGUACGUACAAGCAGUGGGAGCACGCUUAGGCGUGUGACUGCGUACCUUUUGUAUAAUGGGUCAGCGACUUAUAUUCUGUAGCAAGGUUAACCGAAUAGGGGAGCCGAAGGGAAACCGAGUCUUAACUGGGCGUUAAGUUGCAGGGUAUAGACCCGAAACCCGGUGAUCUAGCCAUGGGCAGGUUGAAGGUUGGGUAACACUAACUGGAGGACCGAACCGACUAAUGUUGAAAAAUUAGCGGAUGACUUGUGGCUGGGGGUGAAAGGCCAAUCAAACCGGGAGAUAGCUGGUUCUCCCCGAAAGCUAUUUAGGUAGCGCCUCGUGAAUUCAUCUCCGGGGGUAGAGCACUGUUUCGGCAAGGGGGUCAUCCCGACUUACCAACCCGAUGCAAACUGCGAAUACCGGAGAAUGUUAUCACGGGAGACACACGGCGGGUGCUAACGUCCGUCGUGAAGAGGGAAACAACCCAGACCGCCAGCUAAGGUCCCAAAGUCAUGGUUAAGUGGGAAACGAUGUGGGAAGGCCCAGACAGCCAGGAUGUUGGCUUAGAAGCAGCCAUCAUUUAAAGAAAGCGUAAUAGCUCACUGGUCGAGUCGGCCUGCGCGGAAGAUGUAACGGGGCUAAACCAUGCACCGAAGCUGCGGCAGCGACGCUGAUGCGUUGUUGGGUAGGGGAGCGUUCUGUAAGCCUGUGAAGGUGUACUGUGAGGUAUGCUGGAGGUAUCAGAAGUGCGAAUGCUGACAUAAGUAACGAUAAAGCGGGUGAAAAGCCCGCUCGCCGGAAGACCAAGGGUUCCUGUCCAACGUUAAUCGGGGCAGGGUGAGUCGACCCCUAAGGCGAGGCCGAAAGGCGUAGUCGAUGGGAAACAGGUUAAUAUUCCUGUACUUGGUGUUACUGCGAAGGGGGGACGGAGAAGGCUAUGUUGGCCGGGCGACGGUUGUCCCGGUUUAAGCGUGUAGGCUGGUUUUCCAGGCAAAUCCGGAAAAUCAAGGCUGAGGCGUGAUGACGAGGCACUACGGUGCUGAAGCAACAAAUGCCCUGCUUCCAGGAAAAGCCUCUAAGCAUCAGGUAACAUCAAAUCGUACCCCAAACCGACACAGGUGGUCAGGUAGAGAAUACCAAGGCGCUUGAGAGAACUCGGGUGAAGGAACUAGGCAAAAUGGUGCCGUAACUUCGGGAGAAGGCACGCUGAUAUGUAGGUGAAGCGACUUGCUCGUGGAGCUGAAAUCAGUCGAAGAUACCAGCUGGCUGCAACUGUUUAUUAAAAACACAGCACUGUGCAAACACGAAAGUGGACGUAUACGGUGUGACGCCUGCCCGGUGCCGGAAGGUUAAUUGAUGGGGUUAGCGCAAGCGAAGCUCUUGAUCGAAGCCCCGGUAAACGGCGGCCGUAACUAUAACGGUCCUAAGGUAGCGAAAUUCCUUGUCGGGUAAGUUCCGACCUGCACGAAUGGCGUAAUGAUGGCCAGGCUGUCUCCACCCGAGACUCAGUGAAAUUGAACUCGCUGUGAAGAUGCAGUGUACCCGCGGCAAGACGGAAAGACCCCGUGAACCUUUACUAUAGCUUGACACUGAACAUUGAGCCUUGAUGUGUAGGAUAGGUGGGAGGCUUUGAAGUGUGGACGCCAGUCUGCAUGGAGCCGACCUUGAAAUACCACCCUUUAAUGUUUGAUGUUCUAACGUUGACCCGUAAUCCGGGUUGCGGACAGUGUCUGGUGGGUAGUUUGACUGGGGCGGUCUCCUCCUAAAGAGUAACGGAGGAGCACGAAGGUUGGCUAAUCCUGGUCGGACAUCAGGAGGUUAGUGCAAUGGCAUAAGCCAGCUUGACUGCGAGCGUGACGGCGCGAGCAGGUGCGAAAGCAGGUCAUAGUGAUCCGGUGGUUCUGAAUGGAAGGGCCAUCGCUCAACGGAUAAAAGGUACUCCGGGGAUAACAGGCUGAUACCGCCCAAGAGUUCAUAUCGACGGCGGUGUUUGGCACCUCGAUGUCGGCUCAUCACAUCCUGGGGCUGAAGUAGGUCCCAAGGGUAUGGCUGUUCGCCAUUUAAAGUGGUACGCGAGCUGGGUUUAGAACGUCGUGAGACAGUUCGGUCCCUAUCUGCCGUGGGCGCUGGAGAACUGAGGGGGGCUGCUCCUAGUACGAGAGGACCGGAGUGGACGCAUCACUGGUGUUCGGGUUGUCAUGCCAAUGGCACUGCCCGGUAGCUAAAUGCGGAAGAGAUAAGUGCUGAAAGCAUCUAAGCACGAAACUUGCCCCGAGAUGAGUUCUCCCUGACUCCUUGAGAGUCCUGAAGGAACGUUGAAGACGACGACGUUGAUAGGCCGGGUGUGUAAGCGCAGCGAUGCGUUGAGCUAACCGGUACUAAUGAACCGUGAGGCUUAACCUUACAACGCCGAAGGUGUUU
rnacentral:rRNA from 1 species